GGCGGAUGGUUCCUCCCUCCCUCCCUCUCCCCGCCCGCGCCGCUUGCAGAAAACUAAUGAAUCAUGUCUAGCUGGAUGCAAGCGGCCGACACGCCAGUGCCCUGCGAUGCUGGCUGGUGCCGCCUCCGCCUGCCCCCCUCCGCUCUCCCCAGUUUGUAAUCUGACACAGCGCGCCGCAGUCGUCUCCGCCGCGAACCUCCCGGGCCCUGGCACUGCCGGCCUCUAAGCCUAGAAAUGGCCCGCCGCGCCUGAAGCCCGCAGGAGCCCACGCCGUGCUCGGCCAGCCCCAGCCUUUGGAAGACCCGCCAGGGACCUUCCCGGCUUUGCGUCCGGAGACCAGGGACCCCGCGGUGGGACUGCGUGGAAAACGGCCCGGAGGAUGUGGCCCCCGGAGAGCCUCACCUGAGACCUCAUCACGCCGGCCUUCCCGCAGGGGCCCGGCAGCAUGACAAGGUACCGACCCCCACGCAGACGGCGGGGCCUGGGGAGGGGCGAGGAGCCACCGGAUUCCCCCGGGGUCGGGGUGCCUGGACCCGGCCUCUGAAGCAUUUCCGUGCUGUCGGCCCACUCAGAGGUCUCGUAGGCGCCACCACCAGGCCACAGGGGACCUGCCGACGGCCACCGCCCCCGUGGACGGCGUGGCCGCUGCCCGCAGCUCCAGUCCAGACCCCGGGCUUCCCGGAUGCUGCCCCCUCCCCACCCGCAUCUGAGUCCUUGCCUCACUGUGUUUUCUGCAGCUCAUGACAGCAUCCCCGAAACUGAGUAAUUGACAGAGAAAAGGAAUUUGUUUCCUACGGUUCUGCAGGCUGAGCCGUCCCAGGUGGAGGGGCCGCACCUGAUGGGGACUCUGCAGGGUCCCAAGGUGGCACCGGGGGUCACCCCAUGAGGGGCUAAGGGUGCCCACAUGCUGGCUUGGGCCACUCGGCCUCUUCCCAUGAAGCUGCCCGGUCCCCGCCUGUGAUACCUGUUGACCCAGUAAUCCAGUGGGCAGAGCUGUCGUGAUCCAAUCUCCCCUUUUAUUUAUUUAUUUUUUUUGAGACAGAGUCUCACUC
rnacentral:lncRNA from 1 species